GGUGACGCUGGCGGACUUCAAGCCCGUCGACGGCGCGCCGGGGCCGG
rnacentral:tRNA from 17 species